rnacentral:rRNA from 1 species
ACGGCUCAGUAACACGUGGACAACCUGCCCUUAGGACGGGGAUAAACCCGGGAAACUGGGUAUAAUACCCGAUAGGUCUCGAGUGCUGGAAUGCAUCGAGAUCUAAAGCUCCGGCGCCUAAGGAUGGGUCUGCGGCCUAUCAGGUAGUAGUGGGUGUAGUGUACCUACUAGCCUACGACGGGUACGGGUUGUGAGAGCAAGAGCCCGGAGAUGGAUUCUGAGACACGAAUCCAGGCCCUACGGGGUGCAGCAGGCGCGAAAACUUUACAAUGCUGGCAACAGCGAUAAGGGAACCUCGAGUGCCAGGUUACAAAUCUGGCUGUCGUGAUGCCUAAAAAGCAUUGCAUAGCAAGGGCCGGGCAAGACCGGUGCCAGCCGCCGCGGUAACACCGGCGGCUCGAGUGGUAACCGUUAUUAUUGGGUCUAAAGGGUCUGUAGCCGGCCGGAUAAGUCUCUUGAGAAAUCUGGCAGCUUAACUGUCAGGCUUUCAGGAGAUACUGUCUGGCUCGAGGCCGGGAGAGGUGAGAGGUACUUCAGGGGUAGGGGUGAAAUCUUGUAAUCCUUGAAGGACCACCAGUGGCGAAGGCGUCUCACCAGAACGGACCUGACGGCAAGGGACGAAAGCUAGGGGCACGAACCGGAUUAGAUACCCGGGUAGUCCUAGCCGUAAACGAUACUCGCUAGGUGUCGGCCACGGUGCGACCGUUGUCGGUGCCGUAGGGAAGCCGUGAAGCGAGCCACCUGGGAAGUACGGCCGCAAGGCUGAAACUUAAAGGAAUUGGCGGGGGAGCACCACAACGGGUGGAGCUUGCGGUUUAAUUGGAUUCGACGCCGGG